UAGACUAGCAAGACCAUCGUUUUUUAGUUAAAUUAUACUAUCAUUAAUUGUUUAUAUCCUAGCACCCCUUUCAGCUCAUUACGCUCGUCAUGCACUCUUCCGAGGAGCGCGUCGCCUUCCUCCUCCGGAAUGCCUCGUCUAUGCGCGAGCUCAAGCAAAGCCAAGCAUUCCUCGCCAAAUCCAACGUCGCAGCUCGACUGCCUUCUCUCCUCUUCAAGCUCCUUUCCCUUUCCUCCUUCUCCCCUUGGGGCAGUCUCGCUUAUGCCCGAUCCAUCUUCAAUUCUUUUUCCUAUCUACUCGAAUCCACCUUCGCCCACAACGUAAUGCUCCGGGCCUACUCCGCCUCCAUUUUCCCAACUGAAACUCUCCUCAUAUACAACACGAUGUGCCGCUCCGGAAGCGUUCCCAUUGACAAUUUCACCUUCCCCUUCGUCCUUAAGGCCCUUGGCCGCGCUGUUGCAGUGCUCGCUGAUGGACCUGCCCUAACUUUUGCACUAAAGGGCUCAGAAGUCCAUUGCAGAGCGCUUCAUCUUGGCCUCGACUCUGACGGCUUUGUGCAGAAUGCUUUGAUUUAUAUGUAUUCCCGGUGUGGGUGGAUUGAAUAUGCCCGAUUGGUGUUCGAUAAAAUGCCUCUUAAGGAUGCUAUCUCGUGGAAUACCAUGUUUGUGGCUUAUGACCGGAUUGGAGAAUCGGAUUCAGCUAACCAGCUUCUCAAGCAAAUGCCUGAGAAAAAUGUGUCUUUGUGGAAUAGUAUUAUAGCCAGGCAUGUUAGGUUGGGGAAUGUUGAGGCAGCAAGAAGCGUUUUUGAGGAAAUGACAGUGAGAGAUGCGGUAUCGUGGAACUCAUUGAUUGCAGGUUUUGUACGUGUGAAGAAUUAUAAUAGUGCACUGGAAGUUUUUAGGAGUAUGGUGGCAGCCGAGGUAGUACCAACUCAGUUGACGAUUGUUUCUGUACUUGGGGCUUGUGCAGAGAUAGGUGCAUUCGAAAUGGGAAGGGAGAUACACGUUUAUUUGAUGGAAAAGGAAAUUGAGAUUGAAGGUUUUGUGGGAAAUGCUUUGCUCGACAUGUAUGCCAAAUGCGGUAACUUGAAACUUGCUCAGGAGGUGUUUGACAGAAUGGAUGUGAAACAUAUAACUUGCUGGAAUUCAAUGAUUGUAGCUUUGGCCAUUCACGGUCGCUCCGAAGAGGUUUUGGAUUUGUUUUCUUCUCUUGAGGAGGCUGCCGUUAAGCCCAACCGGAUAACGUUUCUUGGGUCUUUGCUUGCUUGUAGCCACAAGGGAUUGGUAGAAGAAGGGAGAGUUUUGUUCCAUAAAAUGACUAAGAAAUAUGACAUAAUUCCUGACAUAAAGCACUAUGGUUGCAUGGUUGAUAUUUUAUGUAGACGUGGUCUGCUUGAAGAAGCCUGUCAGUUGAUCAAAGAUAUGCCAUUCAGGGCUAACGCAGUGUUAUGGAAAACAGUAAUAGCUGCUUGUAAGGUACAUGGAAAUGUUGAAUUGGCAGAGAGUGCAUUUAGAGAGAAUGGGAAAUUGGAAAAACCAGAUGAUGCAGACUAUGUUCUGAUGUCAAACAUUUAUGCAGAAGCGGGCAGAUGGCAUGGAGUUGAGCAUUUAAGAACUGGGAUGAUAGGUUGCAACAUUUCGAAGCAACCAGGUUGUGCUCAAAUAGAGCUGAACAGAUGAGUUAUGAUAAGAAUGCAUACAUCAACAUCCCCAUUUCCAAUAACUCAUAUUGGCGGGAGUCACUUGCAAUAAGUACACCCUUACCAACUAUAUCGAUCAAGAGCCUUGUAUGUAGCUUAGGGCAUCUCCAACUGAACGCCAAACAUAACUAUGACGUCGGUCAGUCGCUCGCCGAACGUCAAAUCUUCCGCUAUUUGCUUGCGGGUGAACAGUGCGACGCCAAUAUUGGCAUUACACUGUUCACCUAUGCGAUUUUUCUAUCUCAACCAGCUUUGCCGAAGAAACGCGCCAAAGAGGAGAAAGAUUAUUACCUUCGCAGAAGUUCGCAAAGUGGAGUUCUAUUGGAGAUAAAUCACGGUAUUUUUGAGUUUCACUGUAUUUUGGAGUGAAAAAAGGGAUUUUUGUUUGGUGAUGCUCUUAUAAUCUUAUUAAGUCUGCUUGUGACUUAUGAAUUGGACGAUGAGGCUGGCUUGAGUGACUGGAAAUACCUAUAAAGAAAUAACAAAAUUCUCAAAUUUGGUGGUCAUGAUUCAUUUGGGGCUCACUGGCUUUGUGGUUGGUUGACUCUUCCAAAAGGUGUAAUAAAAUGGCAUUUUAUAGCCUUCACUGCUCUUCUGGUUUAUCGUGGUGAGCUGAACUACUCUGUAAACCAUCCCGUCAGUAAUUGCUAGAGCUUAACUUUUAAGUCUGCGCUGCAAAGUGGGGAAUGUUCUGCUAUGAAACUUCUUUAUUUAAUGAUAUUCUACUUUACGUA